rnacentral:rRNA from 1 species
GAACCUACGGGGGGCAGCAGUGGGGGAUAUUGCACAAUGGGGGCAACCCUGAUGCAGCGACGCCGCGUGAGCGAUGGAGUACUUCGGUAUGUAAAGCUCUGUCAGCAGGGAAGAGAAUGACGGUACCUGACCAAGAAGCCCCGGCUAACUACGUGCCAGCAGCCGCGGUAAUACGUAGGGGGCAAGCGUUAUCCGGAUUUACUGGGUGUAAAGGGGACGCAGACGGCAAUGCAAGCCAGGAGUGAAAGCCCGGGGCCCAACCCCGGGACUGCUCUUGGAACUGCAUGGCUGGAGUACAGGAGGGG